rnacentral:misc_RNA from 1 species
AAGUCGUAACAAGGUUUCCGUAGGUGAACCUGCGGAAGGAUCAUUAAUGAAAUGAUAAUUUUUUGGGGUUUUUUAAAUUCCAAAAAAUAAUUCACCUUUUGUGCAUUGUUAUUAGAUAUACUUUGGUUAGAGCUUUGAUUUCAUUUAAUGGAAUCAACUUCUUGCUGACUCUAUCCUUUCUGAGGACAGUUGGCUAUGAAGCGGCCUACCAAGGUUUUUUAUCAAACACAUUUAAUUUAUCUGACCUAAAUCAUUAUAAUAAAUCAUAACUUUCAACAACGGAUCUCUUGGCUCUC